rfam:Canis lupus familiaris chromosome 14, whole genome shotgun sequence.
GUGCUCGCUUUGGCAGCAUAUAUACUAAAAUUGGAACAAUGGAAGAUUAACAUGGCCCCAGUGCGAGGGUGAUACAGAAAUUCAUGAAGUGCUCCAUAUUUUU